GAUGAACGCUAGCUACAGGCUUAAACACAUGCAAGUCGAGGGGAAACGAUAAUUGGAAGCUUGCUUCCGAUAGGCGUCGACCGGCGCACGGGUGAGUAACGCGUAUCCAACCUGCCCAUCACUUGGGGAUAACCUUGCGAAAGUAAGACUAAUACCCAAUGACGUCUCUAGAAGACAUCUGAAGGAGAUUAAAGAUUUAUCGGUGAUGGAUGGGGAUGCGUCUGAUUAGCUUGUUGGCGGGGUAACGGCCCACCAAGGCGACGAUCAGUAGGGGUUCUGAGAGGAAGGUCCCCCACAUUGGAACUGAGACACGGUCCAAACUCCUACGGGAGGCAGCAGUGAGGAAUAUUGGUCAAUGGACGAGAGUCUGAACCAGCCAAGUAGCGUGCAGGAUGACGGCCCUAUGGGUUGUAAACUGCUUUUAUAAGGGAAUAAAGUGAGUCUCGUGAGACUUUUUGCAUGUACCUAUGAAUAAGGACCGGCUAAUUCCGUGCCAGCA
rnacentral:rRNA from 1 species